ACCCGCUGAACUUAAGCAUAUCAAUAAGCGGAGGAAAAGAAACUAACAAGGAUUCCCCUAGUAACGGCGAGUGAAGCGGGAAUAGCUCAAAUUUGAAAUCUCACAGGUUCCCUGUGCGAAUUGUAGUUUAAAGAAAUAUUUACGAAGACAACCUAGGCAUAAGUCCUUUGGAACAGGGCAUCAUAGAAGGUGAGAAUCCUGUAUAUGGUCUGGUGUUGUUUUUAUGUGUUAUAUUUUCAAAGAGUCGGGUUGUUUGGGAAUGCAGCCCAAAAUGGGUGGUAAAUACCAUCUAAAGCUAAAUAUUGGCGAGAGACCGAUAGCGAACAAGUACCGUGAGGGAAAGAUGAAAAGAACUUUGAAAAGAGAGUUAAAUAGUACGUGAAAUUGUCAAAAGGGAAACACUUGAAACCAGUCUUGUUUGUGGAAUCCCAACUAGUUUAACGACUAGCAUAUGUUUCCACUGGCAGGUCAACAUCGGUUUUGACUGGAGUACAAAGCUUGAGGAAGGUGGCCUUCGGGUGUUACAGCCUCAAGUCAUGCUCUGGUUGAGACCGAGGAAUGCAGCUCAGUCUUGGGGACCCGUUCGCCAGUUGAAUAACUUUUUAAACUACUUGUAGAUUAAGAAGGAGCUAAGACUGCUCGGUCGGUAUACCACACCUGUGCUUAGGAUGUUGACAUAAUGGUUUUAAAUGACCCGUCUUGAAACACGG
rnacentral:rRNA from 1 species